AUACAGCUGACGAGUCCCAAACAGGACGAAACGCGCGUCCUGGAU
rfam:Schistosoma margrebowiei strain Zambia genome assembly, scaffold: SMRZ_scaffold0000228